AAAUUGAAGAGUUUGAUCAUGGCUCAGAUUGAACGCUGGCGGCAGGCCUAACACAUGCAAGUCGAACGGUAACAGGAAACAGCUUGCUGUUUCGCUGACGAGUGGCGGACGGGUGAGUAAUGUCUGGGAAACUGCCCGAUGGAGGGGGAUAACUACUGGAAACGGUAGCUAAUACCGCAUAACGUCGCAAGACCAAAGAGGGGGACCUUCGGGCCUCUUGCUAUCGGAUGUGCCCAGAUGGGAUUAGCUAGUAGGUGGGGUAACGGCUCACCUAGGCGACGAUCCCUAGCUGGUCUGAGAGGAUGACCAGCCACACUGGAACUGAGACACGGUCCAGACUCCUACGGGAGGCAGCAGUGGGGAAUAUUGCACAAUGGGCGCAAGCCUGAUGCAGCCAUGCCGCGUGUAUGAAGAAGGCCUUCGGGUUGUAAAGUACUUUCAGCGGGGAGGAAGGGAGUAAAGUUAAUACCUUUGCUCAUUGACGUUACCCGCAGAAGAAGCACCGGCUAACUCCGUGCCAGCAGCCGCGGUAAUACGGAGGGUGCAAGCGUUAAUCGGAAUUACUGGGCGUAAAGCGCACGCAGGCGGUUUGUUAAGUCAGAUGUGAAAUCCCCGGGCUCAACCUGGGAACUGCAUCUGAUACUGGCAAGCUUGAGUCUCGUAGAGGGGGGUAGAAUUCCAGGUGUAGCGGUGAAAUGCGUAGAGAUCUGGAGGAAUACCGGUGGCGAAGGCGGCCCCCUGGACGAAGACUGACGCUCAGGUGCGAAAGCGUGGGGAGCAAACAGGAUU
rnacentral:rRNA from 2 species